rnacentral:rRNA from 1 species
UACGUAGGGCGCAAGCGUUUGUCCGGAAUUAUUGGGCGUAAAGAGCUCGUAGGCGGCUUGUCACGUCGGGGUGUGAAAGACCGGGGCUUAACCCCGGUUCUGCAUUCGAUACGGGCUGGCUAGAGUGUGGUAGGGGAGAUCGGAAUUCCUGGUGUAGCGGUGAAAUGCGCAGAUAUCAGGAGGAACACCGGUGGCGAAGGCGGAUCUCUGGGCCAUUACUGACGCUGAGGAGCGAAAGCGUGGGGAGCGAACAGG